rnacentral:lncRNA from 10 species
GGACUGUGGGAGAGUUUCUCUGAUAUGGACUGUGAUGCGGAAGGACAGAAUAACGGGCUCCCAGAUUCACAAGCCCCACCAAGAGGAUCACCCCAGGAACGCUUGGAGGCUGAGGAGUUCACUGAGGCUACUGCAUCUUGAGACUCAGGAUGAAGACCCAGCUUGGGGCUGUCAAAGAGGCCUGAAGAGGCAGAACACCCCAGAGGAGCCUGGGGCCACCACCCAGCAUCACUGUGGGAAAACGGCAGCAGGAAAUGUCCUCUCGCCUGCGUGCUCCACCUCGGUCCACGCCUUCCCUCCUUCUGGAAGCCUUGCCUGACCACUGGCCUGCCCCUUCUAUGGGAAUCACUACUGACCUUGCAGCUUAUUAUAGACUUAUAUGUAUGCAGAAAUAUAAUUUUAAUUACUUUUAUAUUGCUCCGAGAGUGAUACCAAAUCAUGAUAGAAAAUUUAAAUAAACAAAAUAGCCAAAUUAAUACCAGUAAUCACCCCAGUCAAAUAUACCCAGCUCACAUUUUGAUGUAAAAUCUUCCAGUACAGUUUCUAUGUACAUAUAUAUAUUUUUAGGAAGGAGAUUAUAUUUUACAUGCUGUUUUCUAGAACGUUCUUUUAAAACUGUAUCAUAAACAUCUUGCCUUAUAAUUCAAUAGUCUUCUACAACAAACUUUGCUAAUGAAUUUUUUUUUUUAUCAUGGUCACUGUUGUG